rnacentral:rRNA from 1 species
CGCCUGCGUGAAGUUGGAAUUGCUAGUAAUCGCGGAUCAGCAUGCCGCGGUGAAUACGUUCCCGGGCCUUGUACACACCGCCCGUCACACCAUGGAAGUCGGUAAUGCCCGAAGUCAGUAGCCUAACCGCAAGGAGGGCGCUGCCGAAGGCAGGAUUGAUGACUGGGGUGAAGUCGUAACAAGGUAUC